UACGUAGGGCGCAAGCGUUGUCCGGAGUUAUUGGGCGUAAAGAGCUCGUAGGCGGUUUGUCGCGUCUGAUGUGAAAACCUAGGCUCAACCUUGGGCUUGCAGUGGGUACGGGCAGACUAGAGUGCGGUAGGGGUGACUGGAAUUCCUGGUGUAGCGGUGGAAUGCGCAGAUAUCAGGAGGAACACCGAUGGCGAAGGCAGGUCACUGGGCCGCAACUGACGCUGAGGAGCGAAAGCAUGGGGAGCGAACAGG
rnacentral:rRNA from 1 species